rnacentral:rRNA from 1 species
CCUACGGGAGGCAGCAGUGAGGAAUCUUGGUCAAUGGACGCAAGUCUGAACCAGCCAUGCCGCGUGCAGGAAGACGGCUCUAUGAGUUGUACACUGCUGUUGUACGCGGGUAAACGCAGAUACGCGGAUCUGUCUGAAAGUAUCGUACGAAUAAGGAUCGGCUAACUCCGUGCCAGCAGCCGCGGUACUACGGAGGAUUCAAGCGUUAUCCGGAUUUAUUGGGUUGAAGGGGUGCGUAGGCGGUCGGAUAAGUUAGAGGUGAAAUCCCGAGGCUCAACUUCGGAAUUGCCUCUGAUACUGUUCGGCUAGAGAGUAGUUGCGGUAGGCGGAAUGUAUGGUGUAGCGGUGAAAUGCUUAGAGAUCAUACAGAACACCGAUUGCGAAGGCAGCUUACCAAGCUACUUCUGACGUUGAGGCACGAAAGCGUGGGGAGCAAACAGGAUUAGAUACCCGAGUAGUC